GCAGUUGUGGCCCAGUGGUUAGGGCGAUGGACUAGAAAUCUAUUGGGGUCUCCCCGCACAAAUUCGAAUCCUGUCGACUGCG
rfam:Ixodes scapularis strain Wikel colony gcontig_1108379559323, whole genome shotgun sequence.